GGUCAGAUGGCCGAGCGGUCUAAGGCGCCAGACUAAGGAUCCACAUCGUUUCAGAUGUUCAACUUACAGAGUGAGAUUCCAAUCCACCCUUGUAAUCUGGUCCUCCGGGGCGUGGGUUCGAAUCCCACUCUGAUCA